rnacentral:tRNA from 1 species
GGCCCUAUGGUCAAGUGGUCAAGACAUCGCCCUUUCACGGCGGUAACGGGAGUUCGAGCCUCCCUAGGGUCACCA